AUGAACGCUGACAGAAUGCUUCACACAUGCCAGUCUUUGGCGAAGCUGUGCUUGCACAGCCUAGCCAAGGCGGACGGGUGAGUAACGCGUAAGGAACUUGCCCUGCAGUCAGGGAUAACAGACGGAAACGACUGAUAAGACCUGGUAAAGUCAGGCGGACUCAUGUCCAGCCUGAUGAAAAGAGAUGCUGCAGGAGAGCCUUGCGUCCUAUUAGCUUGUUGGUGGGGUAACGGCCCACCAAGGCGAUGAUAGGUAGCCGGCCUGAGAGGGUGGACGGCCACAAGGGGACUGAGAUACGGCCCUUACUCCUACGGGAGGCAGCAGUGGGGAAUAUUGGACAAUGGGGGCAACCCUGAUCCAGCAAUUCUGUGUGCACGAUGAAGGUUUUCGGAUUGUAAAGUGCUUUCAGCAGGGAAGAAAAAAAUGACGGUACCUGCAGAAGAAGCGACGGCUAAAUACGUG
rnacentral:rRNA from 1 species